UACGAAGGGGGCUAGCGUUGCUCGGAAUCACUGGGCGUAAAGGGUGCGUAGGCGGGUCUUUAAGUCAGGGGUGAAAUCCUGGAGCUCAACUCCAGAACUGCCUUUGAUACUGAAGAUCUUGAGUUCGGGAGAGGUGAGUGGAACUGCGAGUGUAGAGGUGAAAUUCGUAGAUAUUCGCAAGAACACCAGUGGCGAAGGCGGCUCACUGGCCAUAUACUGACGCUGAAACACGAAAGCGUGGGUAGCAAACAGGG
rnacentral:rRNA from 1 species